GAUUAAGUUAUUAAGGGCGCACGGUGGAUGCCUUGGCACUAGAAGCCGAUGAAGGACGUUACUAACGACGAUAUGCUUUGGGGAGCUGUAAGUAAGCUUUGAUCCAGAGAUUUCCGAAUGGGGAAACCCAGCAUGAGUUAUGUCAUGUUAUCGAUAUGUGAAUACAUAGCAUAUCAGAAGGCACACCCGGAGAACUGAAACAUCUUAGUACCCGGAGGAAGAGAAAGAAAAUUCGAUUCCCUUAGUAGCGGCGAGCGAAACGGGAAGAGCCCAAACCAACAAGCUUGCUUGUUGGGGUUGUAGGACACUCUAUACGGAGUUACAAAGAACGACAUUAGACGAAUCAUCUGGAAAGAUGAAUCAAAGAAGGUAAUAAUCCUGUAGUCGAAAAUGUUGUCUCUCUUGAGUGGAUCCUGAGUACGACGGAGCACGUGAAAUUCCGUCGGAAUCUGGGAGGACCAUCUCCUAAGGCUAAAUACUCUCUAGUGACCGAUAGUGAACCAGUACCGUGAGGGAAAGGUGAAAAGCACCCCGGAAGGGGAGUGAAAUAGAACCUGAAACCGUGUGCUUACAAGUAGUCAGAGCCCGUUAAUGGGUGAUGGCGUGCCUUUUGUAGAAUGAACCGGCGAGUUACGAUUUGAUGCAAGGUUAAGCAGUAAAUGUGGAGCCGUAGCGAAAGCGAGUCUGAAUAGGGCGUUUAGUAUUUGGUCGUAGACCCGAAACCAGGUGAUCUACCCUUGGUCAGGUUGAAGUUCAGGUAACACUGAAUGGAGGACCGAACCGACUUACGUUGAAAAGUGAGCGGAUGAACUGAGGGUAGCGGAGAAAUUCCAAUCGAACCUGGAGAUAGCUGGUUCUCUCCGAAAUAGCUUUAGGGCUAGCCUCAAGUGAUGAUUAUUGGAGGUAGAGCACUGUUUGGACGAGGGGCCCCUCUCGGGUUACCGAAUUCAGACAAACUCCGAAUGCCAAUUAAUUUAACUUGGGAGUCAGAACAUGGGUGAUAAGGUCCGUGUUCGAAAGGGAAACAGCCCAGACCACCAGCUAAGGUCCCAAAAUAUAUGUUAAGUGGAAAAGGAUGUGGCGUUGCCCAGACAACUAGGAUGUUGGCUUAGAAGCAGCCAUCAUUUAAAGAGUGCGUAAUAGCUCACUAGUCGAGUGACACUGCGCCGAAAAUGUACCGGGGCUAAACAUAUUACCGAAGCUGUGGAUUGUCCUUUGGACAAUGGUAGGAGAGCGUUCUAAGGGCGUUGAAGCAUGAUCGUAAGGACAUGUGGAGCGCUUAGAAGUGAGAAUGCCGGUGUGAGUAGCGAAAGACGGGUGAGAAUCCCGUCCACCGAUUGACUAAGGUUUCCAGAGGAAGGCUCGUCCGCUCUGGGUUAGUCGGGUCCUAAGCUGAGGCCGACAGGCGUAGGCGAUGGAUAACAGGUUGAUAUUCCUGUACCACCUAUAAUCGUUUUAAUCGAUGGGGGGAC
rnacentral:rRNA from 1 species